GAACCACAGACGAAUCCAUAACUCAGAUAAGCCAUACAGGUGCUCCUUGUGUGGGUAUGUGUGCAGCCACCCCCCUUCCUUGAAGUCACACAUGUGGAAACAUGCAAGUGACCAGAACUACAACUAUGAGCAAGUUAACAAGGCCAUCAACGAUGCAAUCUCACAAAGUGGCAGAGUUCUGGGGAAAUCCCGUGGGAAACCGCUCUUAACCAGCAGUGAAGAGAGAACUGGCCCUACCACAGGCAGUCCAGAAAACUUGGUGUCCUCCUCGGAGCUCAGUUCCCAACUGCCUGGUGACGGUAUCGACGCCAGCGAACUUGAGAAACUGAACCCCACAGGCAGCAGCUCUGACAUCUCAGGAAGGAGCUGCAGCUUGGCUACUCCAGGCACUGAGUACUGCGUGUUGCUCUUCUGCUGCUGCAUCUGUGGCUUUGAGUCAACCAGCAAGGAGAGCCUCCUGGAUCACAUGAAGGAACAUGAGGGGGAGAUUGUCAGCAUCAUCCUGAACAAGGACCACAGCACAGCCCUGAAUGCCAACUAGCUAGGAGCAUGUGGGAGGGCCACUCUGAACCGCAGCUUACCCUCAGCGCCAUCACGAGCUCAUGAGACAUGGAAGAAGCGGUGGUGUGGGUGAUAUUCGGUGCAGAGUAAGGAGACAGAGCUAUAACCCUGUGUGAGCCCCUGGUGCCCCCUUGGUAGUGUCACUGUUUAUUGUUAAAAGCAAGCAAGCUCUGCAGAGCCACACUGGUCAGCUCUACAGUGGCCGGGCUCUGAUGAAUUUUCUCAUAUUUUCACAAUUAAAACAUUUAAAUUUAAUGCCAGAUGUAAAAAAUUUCAUGUUUCCAGUUUUAUCACCCAUUGCUGUUGUAGCCACUAGAUCUGGUUUUCAUUUUGCUGUUAGUCUAAACAGUAAUAGCCUUCACUUAAUUUUCUGUGGCUUUAAUUUUACACAAUUGGUUAAAAAAUAGUAAUCACCCAAAACAUCCUCCCAAUUCAGCAGCGCGGUUCUUCCAAACAUGCUUCUGAGUUCCUUCAAACCACAUGAUUGUGUCACAAGGGUAAACCUCCCCACCCAUGGGGAAAAACUAAUAACCCAAAGGUUCAAAGCCUCCAUCUGUCAUCUGUUCCUAUGAGCUCUCAGGCCUGGACAAGGGAAGUGGCCUGUACCCUGCACAUUCUGCUAGCAUUUGCAGCAAGGCUCUGCCAAGAAGCAAGAUUCAGAAUAACGGAAACAUGUGUGUGGUUGUCAUCACUGACUCUUACCCAGUCAAGGUCACUGCUCAGAGGAUACCGACCACUGCUCGCUAAGCUUUGGCAUGGGAGACUCUGUUUUUUAUCUCUUGUUCUGACCACCUACGCUUCUAAGAGCAAAUGGAGAACACUGCUUUAAAAACACUUAUUUCGGGGCUGGGGAUUUAGCUCAGUGGUAGAGCGCUUACCUAGGAAGCGCAAGGCCCUGGGUUCGGUCCCCAGCUCCGAAAAAAAGAACCAAAAAAAAAAAAAAAAAA
rnacentral:lncRNA from 1 species